CAAACAAUAAAACAAUUGGCCCAAGUGAUGAUCCAAUUUGUAUGGAUCUUCUAGAUGGUUAUUAAACAAAUAAAACAACUAAUAAAAUUGGCCAAAAUGGUAGAGAUAUCCGGCCAUUCAAGGGGCAAGUGAGCACAAGAUUCAUUUAAUUUAGCUAACAUUUUAGUUAGUCAAAAGUUGGUUACCAAAUCACCUAAGUUUAGCCACUAGCCUUUUUAGGGUAAUUAAUAUUUUUAUCCUUGGCAAUCAUGUACAAGAGCAAGAGAGAGUAAGGCUUGGCCGGAUGUCAUAAGGAGAGAAAGAGAGUGGGUUUGGAAAAAAAAAAACUACACCUAAUAAAAGUCUAGCUUAUAUAUAUAUAUAUAUAUCUUUUCUUUCUUUCAUCUCUUUUAUUUUCUAGCCAAAUGAACUUAAGAGAGAGAGAGAGAGAGUGAGAAGGAAGGUUCGGCCACUUCAUGGUGAAGAGGGAGGGGAGAUUUUGGCUCUCAUGAAACCAAGAUCCAUCCAUGGAAGGAAGAAAGAAGAAGAAGGUUUAGCAAGGAAAUCAAGUUAAGGUAUAACAAAAAUUUCUUCUUAUGUAGUUUAUUUUCCUUGGUAGUUUGAUUUGAUUUUUGAUAACUUGAAGUUGUGAUCUUGAGGUUUAAAACCUUAGAUCUAUGUAUAUAUAAGUGUUUCAUGUUUAGUCUAACAAUAUUGGGUGUUGAUUUUUGGUUGGAAUCAAAGGUAUAUAUUUCCUAAACUCAAAACUCUAAUUAGUAUAUGUGUUUUGUGAUGGUUGUUUUAGACCAAGUGUUGAACUUAUGAUCCAUAUGAGGGAAGAUCUACAUGAUAUAUGCUAUUUUAUGGUUAGAUCUUGCCAUUUUUAGGGUUGAUAAGCUUGAACAAAGAAGAUGAACCAAAACAGUUUUUCUUGUUUUAAAUGAAUUAGUGAACUGCUGCUCUAAACAGAAAAUUUCGGAUUUGUUAGAGUGCUCUAAAAAUUCUGGACUUGUGAUAUGUUAUAGUACACUCAAUAAGCUUUCCAUAGACUCCGAAACGGACUAAAUCCGACAUCGGAGGAGCAAGUUAUGGGAUUUCUACCAAACUACACAAAGUUAAGAAAAAACUGUUAGAAGGACAGUUUUUACCAGCCACUUCCGGGCUAAAUUCCGGGAGCUUAACAUGUCCAAAUAUGGAUUGUGAUAUAUGAAAAUUGUAACUCGGAAAGAUACGACUCUAAUAAAAUUGACGGAUCAUUAAUCGGAGUUACAGAUUUCGUUUUAUAUAAGUUUUAGCAAAGGACUCCAAAACUGCCAAAUGACAAAAAGUUGCUGCCCAAAAUAUUCCGGGGACUGUUUCGGACAUUUAUUUAAUGAGAAAAAUUCCAGGAUUUUGGGAAAUGAAAAUAUAUGGUAUUAAGUAGCUCGUGUCCAAAAAUGAGCUAAUUCCGAGUUAAAACGACCAAGUUAUGACCAUUACAAUUUUUGUGAUUUUCCGACGGAAAUCGCUAUAAACGGAGUUCUACAACUCCGAUUGCCACGAAAUUUAAAAUGGAGUAUCACGUUAGAAUAUAUAAGGUUAUGCCAAGAGAUGGGCAUUACUGGAGUUAAGCACGAGGUAGCUAAUUUCUUAAGCUAUN
rnacentral:lncRNA from 1 species